UCACUAUUGUGGUCGUCGCUGGGAGAUUUGUACCGAUCUCCUGGUUUUUCAAAAUCUGCGCUCCUCCAAAAUCGAAUCUUUCCUCUCUGAGAUACCAUCGUUGUACCGAUCUCCUGGUUCUACCCAUUCAAUUUGUUAGGAGGCAACAAAUCGCAAGCAGAGACGGAGAAAAAUUUCCAGAUCCGUCGUAAAGGUAGAUCUGAAGGUGCGAGGAGAAAUGAGCGAAGGAGGGUUACUGGAAAUCGAGCCUAAGGAGCUCAAGUUCGUUUUUGAGUUGAAGAAGCAGAGCUCGUGCUCCCUGAAACGAAUUAACAAGACAGAUCAAUAUGUUGUCUUUAAGAAGAAAAGGAUUAUGCUGAGUGCCACAGGCUUAGGAUGGUAUCCGUGCUUCUUUUUGUUGUUGUUAGUGACCGUCAUAGUUUUUAUGGCUUGAAAGCAAUGGGCUCCUUUCAUGGCUGGAAGAUCUCCAACAAAUAGGCAUGGUGUUUUUUAAAAAGGACGUAGCACAGACGGUGGGUGCAUCAUAUCUCUGGCGUAAUGGUCAGGGGUCGAUUCUCAGGAACUGACGACCUGGGGUUUACCCCGCCAUGCGCCUAUGACCUGUGUACCUGUAUGAACCUCCCUCCAUAUCCAUGGGACCGACACUAAGAAAACCACUAAGAUAACAUAUCUAUUUUUUUUACUAAGCUUUUAUUCUCAACCUUGCCAAGAAGAGCAUGAUGAGAAAAACAGUAUUUUUCUUACCAUUAUUGUGCAUAUUUGUACUUAUGUAUUGACUGGAACUGAUUGAUAUUAAAUUAUAAUAUAAAAUUUAGAUAUCUUAGAAA